CAGUGCCUUUCAAGCAAACAAUUUUAAUUUUACUCGAUAUUAACGCUAUAUGAACGUUGUAUCAUUUGCACGAAAAACAAAUAACGCGAAGCAAUGGGAUUUAGAACGAGGAGAAGAAUUUGUCGAAUAAUUAACGAUAACUGUGCAGUAAAUUUAAAGACCAGUAGUGGCAUAAUUUACGAUUACGAUUUCCAAUGACAGAGAGAAACCGCAUGUUUGUAUGGUGUGCAACAAGGGUUUCUCAACGUCGAGCUCGUUGAAUACGCACAAGCGAAUCCACAGUGGUGAAAAACCUCAUCAGUGUCUCGUUUGCGGUAAGAAGUUUACGGCCUCUUCCAACCUCUACUAUCAUCGUAUGACUCACAUCAAGGUAAGUUUCCUACAAGCUGCUCUCACUGAAAAAGAUAAAUAUUCUUAUAUCGCGAGCAUAGCCUAUCGAUACUCUUUCGCUAGUUACUCGGAGUACUCGUCGAAGCUUAGCAACGUGGGUCAUCGUAGUUCGAUGUAAAAUGCGGUCUUUAAUUUUUAUCCAUGAACCAAUGAUAUCACAUAAUUAUAGAAAAUACCUCGCGAAACAACAUUUCAUUCCUUAAUGAAAUUACAACGUCGACAUUGUUCGAAGAGUUCCUCGUCCGGAGUUUUAACGACGAUCGGGGUACAAUACGUAAGAGAUUAAUAAAUCAUCGAUCUAUCCUUUUGACUCGUCAGGAUCGAUCGUGUUAUGCGUUGCAUUUAUGCGCUAAUGUUUCGUCAACGUUAUAACUCACUUUUUCAGGCUGCAGCUGUAACGUUUACACAAAAGCGUGUAGCACGAUCGAUGCUGAAGACCCAAUAGCGUGACACCCGUCGAUCAUCGCGCAAGCUAAAAUCCAAAAUUCAUCAAUUUGUCACUAGCUCGUCGUUACUUGAAUCGGCCACGUAACUGGCUACUUAAAGCGUCCAGAUAUUUAUCAGCGAUACUAUCACAAAGUGACAAUCUAAAAAAAAAAAAAAAAAAAAACACACAUUUGAAAACACGAUUAAGUUAAAGUAUAUGAAAGAGAAGAAGAUGGAUCCCUUUGAGAAUCGGUGCAGACCGACUCCCUUCAGGGAGUUUAUCUUCAUUUUAGCCGUAGUUAUCCCAGUCGGUGUAAAGCUGGUUGUGAUCGGGAAAACGCAAGGAAACCGGUACGCGAAGCGGUAACGCGAGGCGCGAGUGGUAAAAGAUCGGUCGGAGUUUUUAUUUAUCAGAGCGGAAACCCCCGUAUGAGUUUCUCUAAUCCAGCGAAGUAAUGAUAUCUCGGGAGCCAUAUAGGUUGCUCUUGCCAUCAGCUACUGUAAUUGGUCCAUUACUCGCUACUGCUUGGAAUGCAAUCCAAUUAGGGAGACGGAGAAUAUACCCGGAGGCAGACUCUUCUGGUUCUCUCUUCGAUCUUAUGUUAACAUCGCUUUCCGCCUCUAUCUCUCGUCUACCUUCGCCGGUGUACUAUCUCCCCUGCCAUCUUUCUCCUUCGUUUCUACUCACUUCCAUUGCCUUCCUCUUUCACGUGCUCCGCCGCUCAUCCCACUUACCCUUGCCACCUUUUCAUCGUGUUUUCGCGAGACCACGCGUUCUUUUAUUGUCGUUCGGCAAGUCGAUCCAACUGGGAUAACAAAUACGACGCGUGUCUUUGGACUUUGUCUUUCACACUCGAUGGUAGUUUUGCGUAUGGGGAAAAAUCAGUUUGCUGAUUUCCAUCUUUUAGAAUUCCGUUUAUUAGAAUAUAUAGGAUAUUCGGCAAAAUAUAGUUGCUGCUGUCGAGCAUAUGUGAUCCCGUGGAUAUCUUUCAGCCUCGUUUGUCCCUUAUGACGUUGCGAUAAACGUACGAAAAGUAUGAUCUGCGGAUUGCUUUUCUCGUAUUUCAACGCUUGCAAAUUCUAUCCUUUCUUUGUUUUUAAUGGAAGAAUUUUUUUGUAAAUUUAGCAACCUAUCUGUUGGUUGUAUUGAUUCUUGUAUGACAGUAUAAAAAUAUAAAAAAGUACAAGACCAUAAUAUAAAAAAUAACAGUAUACGAAAAAGUACGUGAGCUUGGAUGGGAAAUAAGAGAUUUUAAAUAUUAAAAUACUUAUGUAGGAAAGAAAAUGAUAGGAGUGUUCGAUUAGCGACCACGACAAGUCCCAUUAAUUCUUUUAAAUAUUUAUCGUGUUGGUAAAAAUUGAUUGGAUUUUUAAUCAAAUGCAAAGCAAUUCGUGUUGCGAGUUCCUUUAUUCGUUCAAAGUUAACAGCUUUAACUCCAAUUUAUACAAUAACGAACAGCAUUUGUUUCUGUAUAAAUUUCUUCGCAAUCAAUGCCGUUCUUUUAUAUUUCUUUCUAUCUAUUAUAAUAUCAUUUCAUCGUAGAUCGGUAUAACAUUUCAUAGAUUUUUAUUAUACUUUUGCGAGUUGGUGAAAUAAAAAUAAGUUUAGAAUCUUAUCUUUAUUUAGGUAGUAGUUUGUACUAUAGAAGAAAUGUUCUAUAUUUUGCGCUAGUAUUCAAUGAAAAGAGACAAAAUAUGCGGGUUACAAUAAUAUUUAUCGAACUUCCUUUAAGAUAUUCCUCAUCGAAGAUUCUCAUAAUCGAAGUGUACGUAUUUCACAGUAUUUUCCUUGAGGUAAACUUAGAUAUAAAUAUUAACCAUCAAACGCUUGAAAACGACGAGUAAUAGUACAUAGUACACAACAAGUAAUGUCGUUUUGAAUUUACUGUAAAACUUACAAUCUUAUCUUAUGAACGAAACUAAAA